GCCAACACUAGCCCCAAGCAUAAUCAACACUAAUAACAAACCAACAUACACCAAACCAUUUACCUAUACAAAGUAUAGGCGAUAGAAAUUUUAAUCUGGCGCUAUAGAUAUAGUACCGCAAGGGAAAGAUAAAAAACUACCCAAGCACAAAACAGCAAGGACUAACCCCUGUACCUUUCGCAUAAUGAAUUAGCUAGAAAUAAUUUUACGAAGAGAACUAUAAGCCAAAUCCCCCGAAACCAGACGAGCUACCCAAAAACAGCUAAAAGAGCGCACCCAUCUAUGUGGCAAAAUAGUGGGAAGAUUUUUAGGUAGAGGUGAUAAGCCUACCGAGCCUGGUGAUAGCUGGUUAUCCAAGACAGAAUCUUAGUUCAACCUUAAGCUUACCUACAGAACCACCUAAUCCCCCUGUAAGCUUAAUUGCUAGUCUAAAGAGGGACAGCUCUUUAGACACUAGGAAAAAACCUUACAGAGAGAGUAAAACCCCCAACUACCAUAGUUGGCUUAAAAGCAGCCAUCAAUUAAGAAAGCGUUCAAGCUCAACAUUAACAAUCUCAAAAAUACCAAACACAUAACUGAACUCCUCACAUCACAUUGGAUUAAUCUAUCAUCAUAUAGAAGCAAUAAUGCUAGUAUAAGUAACAUGAAUACUUUCUCCACCGCAUAAGCCUAAGUCGGACCGAAAGCCUCACCGACACUUAACAGCCAGGCAUAGCAAACACAAACAAGCCCAUGCUACCUUCACUGUUAACCCAACACAGGCAUGCCCCAAGGAAAGGUUAAAAAAAGUAAAAGGAACUCGGCAAACUCAAACCCCGCCUGUUUACCAAAAACAUCACCUCUAGCAUUACUAGUAUUAGAGGCACUGCCUGCCCGGUGACACACGUUUAACGGCCGCGGUACCCUGAC
rnacentral:rRNA from 1 species